GUCGGUGUAGCUCAGUGGCAGAGCGGCGGCUUCCAAAUCCGCGCGUCCGGGGUUCGAUUCCUCGCACCUUCG
rnacentral:tRNA from 1 species